rnacentral:rRNA from 1 species
AGAGCGAACGCUGGCGGCAGGCCUAACACAUGCAAGUCGAACGCACCUUCGGGUGAGUGGCGGACGGGUGAGUAACACGUGGGAACGUACCUUUUGGUUCGGAAUAACGCAGGGAAACUUGCGCUAAUACCGAAUGUGCUCCGUAAGGAGGAAAGAUUUAUCGCCAUUAGAGCGGCCCGCGUUAGAUUAGCUAGUUGGUGAGGUAAAGGCUCACCAAGGCUACGAUCUAUAGCUGGUCUGAGAGGAUGAUCAGCCACAUUGGGACUGAGACACGGCCCAAACUCCUACGGGAGGCAGCAGUGGGGAAUCUUGCGCAAUGGGCGAAAGCCUGACGCAGCCAUGCCGCGUGAAUGAUGAAGGUCUUAGGAUUGUAAAAUUCUUUCAGUAGGGACGAUAAUGACGGUACCUACAGAAGAAGCCCGGCUAACUUCGUGCCAGCAGCCGC